GGCGAAGUCGCGGGAGCGGUGGCCUCGCGCCCCGCACCUCCUCCGAGGGGCAAGGCGGCAGGCCCGGAGCCCAGCAAUCCGGGCGUCCCCUCGGAAGGGCAGAGCUCCAGAGAACCCCAGAGUAAGGGUGGGCCCAGGAGAUGCAAUUUCUGUGAGGCUCAUUGCACGACUUUCUCAAAUCCUGGAAUUGGAGAGCUGGAAAGGAAGUGCCUCGUGGCUCAGUGAUGAUACAAUGCGGUCCAAGCACUCAUUGAACGGAGGAGGGCCUGUGUCCCACUGAGAUGCCACGCUGAACUUUGGUCACCGAGCUCUGGAGUCUCGCCGUUGUUACAGUUCAGAAGCCAUGUUUUUGAUCUCCCCCAGGGCUGUGGUGCCGCAGGUGAGAUUCAACAAACAGAGGGCAGACAGCUGGUGGACCUCCUCUGUGCGUAACCUCCAUAUGCCAGACCCGCGAGGUCCCUGAAACUUUGGCUUCUCCCACCCUCCGCGGCUUCCUCCUAAGUCUGAGUCUCUUGUCUAGCAUCUGUUCUCCCCAUCCUAUCUUCCGCAGCUCCUUAAAGCUCGGGGGUGGCGGGGCGGAUGGGGGGGGAGCAUGUCGCUCGAUGCCUGCAACUGCGUGCAAGGACGCCUCCCUCCGGGAGGCCUCCUUGCAAAAGCCCCAGGCUGUGGCUCCCCAGACAUCAGCACUCAAUCUGUAUCUCACCCCCGAGCCAGGCUGGCUUUCCCAAUGAGCUCCCAGCUUCGCUUACUUUCGCUCCGGCUGCCCGCCGGGGCUCUUCGCUCUCGAUAGGGCUUGCUGUCUGUGGCGGGAGGAGACCGAGGAAGACCCCUUCUCUUUUGGGACAAGACCCUGCCUACAUACCGAGCAGUCCCCAGUCCCCAGUGGAGGAAGUGGGGAGAGCUGAAUCUUGUCCCCACUGCUGGGCUCCAGCUCUAGGGUACCGUCAGGAGGUCGGGGGCACUUGGGGCAGGAGCUCCAGCCACGCAGGCUGCUCUGGAGUCUGACUCCAUGUCCGCUCCGGCAUCGUCAUUUGGUCCCAGGACUGGGAGGAUGCAGAGGUGGUCACCGAGACUCCCCUCCGGGUACCGCUGCUGCCUCGGAGCCGGGAGGCGUUAGAGAGAGAGGGCCUGGGACUCAGCUGGUGCUCUGGUCGGGAGUGAGGGCCUGGGCCCCUGGCUGCAGGACACUGAGGGAGGCAGAGACAGCCGGUGGGCAGCUGACGGGGCAGGGAGCGGUUGUUUUUCUUAAUGGCCCCUAUUGCCCAACAGUUUCCACUGGAUCAUGUCUGUGUGUGGUGCCGGGGCCCAGGGGAGCCCAGCAGCCGGGAGGAUCCAGCCCAGCCCGAAGUGCCGAUUCUGGGGGGUCUGGCAGUAAGGGCAAAGCAGAUAUGGCAGUUGAUUUGUGUUGGAUGUGGGUGGCCUCUGGGUCUCGUCUGGCCAGAGGCCUGGGACCACCUUGCCUCUUGGGUGGCGGUGGCAAGGGGUCUCCAACUUCGACAGGUGAGAAUGACGAAGAAGGGAGGGUUAAUGGCCCAGCUUUUACUCUACCCUGCCUCAUUUCGGAACAUGUAGAGAGGGCAGAAAAGGGCAGUUCUGAGGGCCUCGAACACCCCAGCCCUCCUCCCUCUUGGCACAAACAGCUCCUCUGGUCCCCGCUUCCCUCUCCCAGGCGACGGUGACGGGGUGAU